UUUGACCUUUAGAGGUUGAUUCAUGUUACUUGCAAAGUCUUGACUUUUAGAGCAACACUUUCAUUACCUUAAUGAAGCAGCAAACACUUUCUUGUUCAUUUCUACAGACUGGAAGACAGAAGAGAGUGUUUUCAGAGCAGUUUGAUGGCAGAUCUCAGCAGCAGAGGGCUCCAUUUUCCCUUCCCGUCACUUCAAAAGGUGGACCCAAGAUGGCAUGAUGGCGUAUCCAUACAGUGUCCUGUUUUUAAUGGACAAAGACUCAGCAUUCUUUGGCACACAUCGGCCCCUGAGUAAAACCUCAACAAAUUCACAUGUGUGUUUAUUUGUUUUUCCUUCCAUGUGAUAGACGGACGGACGGACGGCCUUGGAUUUCACUUGUUGAGUAGCCGAGACCUUGUUAACUCAGUAAUGGAUAGCCCAAGUGUGCACGGAGACAUCCUCUUCAUUAUUGUGCCGCUGAGAGCAGGAAGAGAAGACAAACUCUUCCUCCAUCGCUCUGACACUCACCUUUUGUCUGUCUCAGCUAGCAAUGCACAGAGAGCUGCGGAGGAGGUGGUUAACGGCUUUUCUUUGUCAUUUCCCAUGAAGAAACGCAUAGAGCAAAUAUUUUUCCUUAUUGUGAGAUGUUACAGUGGGAUAAACAAAACCAUGUUGUCAGGUUACACAAUAUACAGUGUAUUUUGUAGAAAUAGUUGAAAAGUUAUAUAUAACAUAUUGUAUCUAAAGUCAGAUUUCUUAUGGUAUUGAAACUUUUUGCAAAUCAUUUGUAAAUAAACUGUUGCCUUAUAUUAUUAUUUUAUUCACAAGCUAUUAAUUAGUGUUAAAUGUAGAAUUAGUUUGCAAGCAUGGAAGCCAUUGUUGGGGUAAAAUAUAAAGAAUUACUUCAGUGUAUUCUUUUCAGUUUGCCAAAAUAUCCACAUUUCUUUACUAAGCUACUACAAUGCUUCUCAACCAGAAAACAAAAAAAUGAUUGUGUUUCUCAUUAGGGUUUCACACCAUGACAGGCAGAGUAUUGGAGCUGAAAGACUGAGGGCUCACUAGACAACUGAACGCGGUUUAAGCAUUUCUACAGAGGCCCACCUUGUUAUUGUGGCUUGGAAGUGUGACUGGCGGUUGUCUCAGUCUGCAAUGAAGAGUGAUGACUGAGAGGACCGCCAGUAGCCACCCACAUAGAUUAGUAUCUUGUUCUCAGUGGAGUCUUAUACAUUUCAUUAAUUUUUUUUUUCUAUUUUGUGUCUCAGUUUAGAGUGCAUUUUCAACAGUGUAUUCCAGUGAUUUCUAUAUACAGUGUGUUAUAUAUGUGAUAUGCUCCUCAUAUUUGAUGUCAGAGACUGUUUUGUGGCAAAAUGUAUCAUAAACUGCACAAAAAUGCACAACAUAUUUAAUAAACCUGUAACAGACAA